AACGAACGCUGGCGGCAUGCCUAACACAUGCAAGUCGAACGAGACCUUCGGGUCUAGUGGCGCACGGGUGCGUAACACGUGGGAAUCUGCCCUUUGCUUCGGAAUAACAGUUAGAAAUGACUGCUAAUACCGGAUGAUGUCGAAAGACCAAAGAUUUAUCGGCAAAGGAUGAGCCCGCGUAGGAUUAGGUAGUUGGUGGGGUAAAGGCCUACCAAGCCGACGAUCCUUAGCUGGUCUGAGAGGAUGAUCAGCCACACUGGGACUGAGACACGGCCCAGACUCCUACGGGAGGCAGCAGUGGGGAAUAUUGGACAAUGGGCGAGAGCCUGAUCCAGCAAUGCCGCGUGAGUGAUGAAGGCCUUAGGGUUGUAAAGCUCUUUUACCAGGGAUGAUAAUGACAGUACCUGGAGAAUAAGCUCCGGCUAACUCCGUG
rnacentral:rRNA from 1 species